GUAGGUGAACCUGCAGAAGGAUCAUU
rnacentral:rRNA from 1 species